UACGUAGGGUGCGAGCGUUUAAUCGGAAUUACUGGGCGUAAAGCGUGCGCAGGCGGUUCGUUGUGUCGGUGGUGAAAGCCCCGGGCUUAACCUGGGAAUGGCCAUGGAAACUGGCGAACUGGAGUGUGGCAGAGGGGGGGUGGAAUUCCACGUGUAGCAGUGAAAUGCGUAGAGAUGUGGAGGAACACCGAUGGCGAAGGCAGCCCCCCUGGGCUAACACUGACGCUCAUGCACGAAAGCGUGGGGAGCAAACAGG
rnacentral:rRNA from 1 species